rnacentral:rRNA from 1 species
AAACUGCCUACGCAAGUAGUGAGGAAGGUCGGGGAUGACGUCAAAUCAGCACGGCCCUUACGUCCAGGGCUACACACGUGCUACAAUGGCCGAUACAGAGGGCAGCUACCUGGUGACAGGAUGCAAAUCUCCAAAGUCGGUCUCAGUUCGGAUCGGAGUCUGCAACCCGACUCCGUGAAGUUGGAUUCGCUAGUAAUCGCGCAUCAGCCAUGGCGCGGUGAAUACGUUCCCGGGCCUU